UUUAAAUGUGCCAUAUCAUCUCGCAGAAAAAGAAGCAAAAACGUUUAACGCUGAACACAGAACAGUUCGCUUACCCAUAACAAUGUAGAAAUUCAUAAAACGGCAAAAUGUCACGAUAGCGGCCAUAUUGAAAAAGAGUUCGGCGGAAUAAUACAAUGUAAACAUUACAGUAACUGAUCUCUGUGCAAUUUAUAUGUGAACGCGGUAGAUUGACUAAACAUUUUCACGGACUAUCAAAAUUUUACAUCUCGUCUUUUUCACAUUUACCUCACAUUAUGAGCAAUAGAAAGAGCCAUUUAGAAACAUAAUGGUUCACAUUAAUCGGCGGGUUACUUGUAGCGAAAUCGCGAACUGGGGAAAAACGCCAUGACAGCUCUUCUACGUGGGACGGGCACAGUUGUGUCGAUACAAGUAAAAGUCAGGAGGGAUGUUACGAAGAUUCUUGUAUAUUUCGGGACACAAAUGUUUAUAUGUGCUUUUCAUUUCAGGAUAUUUGUUUACAGGACUGACAUACCGUUGUGUGUUUCAUAUUAUUUUGCGUAUUAUGAACGUAUAGUAUGAGAUUUUUUAAAAAUGUUUACAGGACAUAUAAAUAAAAUCUUCUUUAAAAAAUGUAUUUUUAGUGUUAUGGAACAUUUCGUAUCCACUUAAUUAAAAACAUGCGGUAAGAAGAAAUAUUUAUUUAUGUAACGCUUACAACAUUUUUUGAGUAAGACCUGUAAAAAAACAUUGAGUGCGGUUUACUUAUUUCUGAUUUUAUUUAUUUUUUUGUUUUCCUUUUUAGCUUCAUUUUCCCAAUUGAAUGCAUGUAUUGUUAUCAUUAAUUUACUUAUACAUAUCAACUCUGAAUCAUUCCCGAAGAUAGAGAAAAAAAAAUCUAGUAAACAAGCGAAUCAAUACACAUAACGUGAUCAUUCAUGAAAUUCUUUCUAAAAUGUUUUAAAUAAGGACAAUCAUUAUGUAUAUAAUGAACCGUGAAUUGUUUUGAAAUUUGAUACUUCUUUAUUUCAGGUUUUCAUGUCACCAAGUGCAAAGUUAAUGAUAAAGAUAAUUGUUCCCACUAUGUGUUCAAUAAUAUCUGACCUUCAUUGUAUUUGCGAUUAGUAUUUUUCUCUCAAAUAGCUUUGAAAUUAUUAUUUUUCAACAGAGUUUUUUUCAGCUGUAGGUCAAGUUAUAAUGAAAUAAAAAAAAAAACAACUUUUUAUCUGGUCCGAGCUUUUCGACUUUCAGUAAUUGUAUAUCCAUUAAAAUAUUGUUUACAUAUUUUUAACACGAUCGGCAUAAUCAUUUUUAUACUUAAGAAAAUCUCAGACACAUCAUUUGUGAACUGGUUUAAAUUUUCUUUUGGUGUUUAAUAGAUAGAUUAUCUUUAUCAACAAUUAUUACAGAUUAAUUCAUCCUCUGUAUCUGUUAAAUGUGAACAUCCUGUAUAACUUCGAUCAUUGUGAUUUUAUUUAUUGAUGUUUUAUUAUGUUCAAUGUAUAUUUGACGAUGUACACAUGUACAAGUCUGAAUAAAUUAUCUGUUCUGUUCUGUUCUGU